UGCCAGCUAAGUUUUCCUGUACGCAG
rnacentral:piRNA from 1 species